rnacentral:rRNA from 1 species
GAAGACCAAGGGUUCCUGUCCAACGUUAAUCGGGGCAGGGUGAGUCGACCCCUAAGGCGAGGCCGAAAGGCGUAGUCGAUGGGAAACGGGUUAAUAUUCCCGUACUUGGUGUUACUGCGAAGGGGGGACGGAGAAGGCUAUGUUGGCCGGGCGACGGUUGUCCCGGUUUAAGCGUGUAGGUGUGUGUUCCAGGUAAAUCCGGUUCACUUUAACACUGAGGCGUGACGACGAGGCACUACGGUGCUGAAGCAACAAAUGCCCUGCUUCCAGGAAAAGCCUCUAAGCAUCAGGUAACAUCAAAUCGUACCCCAAACCGACACAGGUGGUCAGGUAGAGAAUACCAAGGCGCUUGAGAGAACUCGGGUGAAGGAACUAGGCAAAAUGGUGCCGUAACUUCGGGAGAAGGCACGCUGACACGUAGGUGAAGUGAUUUACUCAUGGAGCUGAAGUCAGUCGAAGAUACCAGCUGGCUGCAACUGUUUAUUAAAAACACAGCACUGUGCAAACACGAAAGUGGACGUAUACGGUGUGACGCCUGCCCGGUGCCGGAAGGUUAAUUGAUGGGGUCAGCGCAAGCGAAGCUCCUGAUCGAAGCCCCGGUAAACGGCGGCCGUAACUAUAACGGUCCUAAGGUAGCGAAAUUCCUUGUCGGGUAAGUUCCGACCUGCACGAAUGGCGUAAUGAUGGCCAGGCUGUCUCCACCCGAGACUCAGUGAAAUUGAACUCGCUGUGAAGAUGCAGUGUACCCGCGGCAAGACGGAAAGACCCCGUGAACCUUUACUAUAGCUUGACACUGAACAUUGAGCCUUGAUGUGUAGGAUAGGUGGGAGGCUUUGAAGUGUGGACGCCAGUCUGCAUGGAGCCGACCUUGAAAUACCACCCUUUAAUGUUUGAUGUUCUAACGUGGACCCGUUACCCGGGUUGCGGACAGUGUCUGGUGGGUAGUUUGACUGGGGCGGUCUCCUCCUAAAGAGUAACGGAGGAGCACGAAGGUUGGCUAAUCCUGGUCGGACAUCAGGAGGUUAGUGCAAUGGCAUAAGCCAGCUUGACUGCGAGCGUGACGGCGCGAGCAGGUGCGAAAGCAGGUCAUAGUGAUCCGGUGGUUCUGAAUGGAAGGGCCAUCGCUCAACGGAUAAAAGGUACUCCGGGGAUAACAGGCUGAUACCGCCCAAGAGUUCAUAUCGACGGCGGUGUUUGGCACCUCGAUGUCGGCUCAUCACAUCCUGGGGCUGAAGUAGGUCCCAAGGGUAUGGCUGUUCGCCAUUUAAAGUGGUACGCGAGCUGGGUUUAGAACGUCGUGAGACAGUUCGGUCCCUAUCUGCCGUGGGCGCUGGAGAACUGAGGGGGGCUGCUCCUAGUACGAGAGGACCGGAGUGGACGCAUCACUGGUGUUCGGGUUGUCAUGCCAAUGGCACUGCCCGGUAGCUAAAUGCGGAAGAGAUAAGUGCUGAAAGCAUCUAAGCACGAAACUUGCCCCGAGAUGAGUUCUCCCUGAGACUUAAAGUCUCCUGAAGGAACGUUGAAGACGACGACGUUGAUAGGCCGGGUGUGUAAGCGCAGCGAUGCGUUGAGCUAACCGGUACUAAUGAACCGUGAGGCUUAACCUUACAACGCCGAAG